CACGUAGGGGACGAGCGUUGUCCGGAUUCAUUGGGCGUAAAGCGCGCGUAGGCGGCUCGGAAAGUCGGUCGUGAAAUGCCGGGGCUCAACCCCGGGACUGCGUCCGAUACUUCCGGGCUGGAGGUAGGUAGGGGAGAUCGGAAUUCCUGGUGUAGCGGUGAAAUGCGCAGAUAUCAGGAGGAACACCGGUGGCGAAGGCGGAUCUCUGGGCCUUAUCUGACGCUGAGGCGCGAAAGCCAGGGGAGCAAACGGG
rnacentral:rRNA from 1 species